AGAGUUUGAUCAUGGCUCAGAUUGAACGCUGGCGGCAGGCUUAACACAUGCAAGUCGAGCGGGGAAAGGUAGCUUGCUACUGGACCUAGCGGCGGACGGGUGAGUAAUGCUUAGGAAUCUGCCUAUUAGUGGGGGACAACAUUCCGAAAGGAAUGCUAAUACCGCAUACGCCCUACGGGGGAAAGCAGGGGAUCUUCGGACCUUGCGCUAAUAGAUGAGCCUAAGUCGGAUUAGCUAGUUGGUGGGGUAAAGGCCUACCAAGGCGACGAUCUGUAGCGGGUCUGAGAGUAUGAUCCGCCACACUGGGACUGAGACACGGCCCAGACUCCUACGGGAGGCAGCAGUGGGGAAUAUUGGACAAUGGGCGGAAGCCUGAUCCAGCCAUGCCGCGUGUGUGAAGAAGGCCUUUUGGUUGUAAAGCACUUUAAGCGAGGAGGAGGCUCCUUUAGUUAAUACCUAAAGUGAGUGGACGUUACUCGCAGAAUAAGCACCGGCUAACUCUGUGCCAGCAGCCGCGGUAAUACAGAGGGUGCGAGCGUUAAUCGGAUUUACUGGGCGUAAAGCGUGCGUAGGCGGCUUUUUAAGUCGGAUGUGAAAUCCCUGAGCUUAACUUAGGAAUUGCAUUCGAUACUGGAAAGCUAGAGUAUGGGAGAGGAUGGUAGAAUUCCAGGUGUAGCGGUGAAAUGCGUAGAGAUCUGGAGGAAUACCGAUGGCGAAGGCAGCCAUCUGGCCUAAUACUGACGCUGAGGUACGAAAGCAUGGGGAGCAAACAGGAUUAGAUACCCCGGUAGUCC
rnacentral:rRNA from 1 species